UCCUCUUCUGAUCCCAGCUUUGCUCCGUGCUUCACAUCAGAACCCAAAUCCACUAUCACUUUGACUUCCCCUCCUUGAUUACUUCCAUGGCCCUUACUACUGGAUCAUCUUCCACCAGGAACACCAGCUUAUAAAUGAUGAGGCAAAAUAAAUGCCUGAUCCUGACAACUGCUGAGCUCCCUAGACUCCAGUACAGAUGCUCUGCACUUACAAGAUCUGGCCUUGAGGAAUUGAGGUCUGUUGAUAUAAUACUGCCUGAUUAUAUAACUUUCAAUAUAUUUAAUUUUUUUGCUACAAUAGCAACAGCCUACCCCAAGGUGACCUAAGAACCUAUUAUUUGUUCAGCAUCCUGCACCUAUUGUUCAGGGCUAUCUUCACCAAUGGUGCCAUAUAGAUAACAAUACUUACUCAUUUAUUUUACUUGAAAUGCUUACAUUUGAGUCCUCUCUGCACAGGAACUGCCCAGAGUGACAAUCAUCAAGAACUGAACAUAUUCACCAUUAAUGAAUGGAGUGAAAAUCAAGUCACAUCAGAGAUUAAAGAUAAUGUCUAUAAAAUGGAAGAAAAAAAACACCCUGAAAACCAACAACAAAUGAAAACACAUCCAAGUACUAUGCUCUAGUCAUAUAGAUCAGUGGUUCUCAAUUUUUUUUCGCUGACCACUUGAAAAUUGCUGAGGGUCUUGGUGGACCACUUAAAGAUCUUUCCAAAUGUUGUUUGUACCGUUAGCUAACUAUUGUAAGGUGCUUUGGAUAAAAGCACUAUAUAAAAAAAACCUUAAUAAUAAUAAUAAAGUUUUUUUUCUACAAAUAAAAGCAGCCAACUCACAUUUUAAUAUCUGUUGUCUUAUCUUUCUAAUGUGAUAGAUGUGCCCUCUCUCCCCUGCCACGGUAGCCCCCAAGCUGGGGCUGGGAUGGAGGGGGUCUGUCCCUCUCUCCCCCACCGCGGCAGCCCCUGAGCUGGGGCUGGGAAGGAGGUGGGGUCU